UGCCAGCCGCCGCGGUAACACCAGCGCCACAAGUGGCAAUCGCGAUUAUUGGGCCUAAAGCGUUCGUAGCCGGCUUGGUAAAUCCUUUGUGAAAUCGUAUCGCUUAACGGUACGGCGUGCAGGGGACACUACCAAGCUCGAGACCGGGAGGGGUUAGAGGUAUUCGUAGGGGACUGGUAAAAUGGUAUAAUCCUACGAGGACCACCGAUGGCGAAGGCAUCUAACCAGAACGGAUCUGACGGUGAGGAACGAAAGCCAGGGGAGCGAACCGGAUUAGAUA
rnacentral:rRNA from 1 species